rnacentral:rRNA from 1 species
AUUGAACGCUGGCGGCAGGCUUAACACAUGCAAGUCGAGCGGGGGAAGGUAGCUUGCUACCGGACCUAGCGGCGGACGGGUGAGUAAUGCUUAGGAAUCUGCCUAUUAGUGGGGGACAACAUCUCGAAAGGGAUGCUAAUACCGCAUACGUCCUACGGGAGAAAGCAGGGGAUCUUCGGACCUUGCGCUAAUAGAUGAGCCUAAGUCGGAUUAGCUAGUUGGUGGGGUAAAGGCCUACCAAGGCGACGAUCUGUAGCGGGUCUGAGAGGAUGAUCCGCCACACUGGGACUGAGACACGGCCCAGAAUCCUACGGGAGGCAGCAGUGGGGAAUAUUGGACAAUGGGGGGAACCCUGAUCCAGCCAUGCCGCGUGUGUGAAGAAGGCCUUAUGGUUGUAAAGCACUUUAAGCGAGGAGGAGGCUACUUUAGUUAAUACCUAGAGAUAGUGGACGUUACUCGCAGAAUAAGCAUCGGCUAACUCUGUGCCAGCCGCCGCUGUAA